rnacentral:rRNA from 1 species
GACGAACGCUGGCGGCGUGCCUAAUACAUGCAAGUUGAGCGCUGAAGGUUGGUACUUGUACCAACUGGAUGAGCAGCGCACGGGUGAGUAACGCGUGGGGAAUCUGCCUUUGAGCGGGGGACAACAUUUGGAAACGAAUGCUAAUACCGCAUAAAAACUUUAAACACAAGUUUUAAGUUUGAAAGAUGCAAUUGCAUCACUCAAAGAUGAUCCCGCGUUGUAUUAGCUAGUUGGUGAGGUAAAGGCUCACCAAGGCGAUGAUACAUAGCCGACCUGAGAGGGUGAUCGGCCACAUUGGGACUGAGACACGGCCCAAACUCCUACGGGAGGCAGCAGUAGGGAAUCUUCGGCAAUGGACGAAAGUCUGACCGAGCAACGCCGCGUGAGGGAAGAAGGGUUUCGGAUCGUAAAACUCUGUUGGUAGAGAAGAACGUUGGUGAGAGUGGAAAGCUCAUCAAGUGACGGUAACUACACAGAAAGGGACGGCUAACUACGUG